GCGCAGAGUAGAAGCGUUCAGCCCGGUGCAAGUUUUCGAAUUUGUUGCACCCGCGGCAGGAAAUUGCUCUUUUA
rnacentral:ncRNA from 1 species